rnacentral:rRNA from 1 species
UACAGGGGGGGCAAGCGUUGUUCGGAAUUACUGGGCGUAAAGGGUUUGUAGGUGGCCACUUAAGUCAGACGUGAAAUCCCUCAGCUUAACUGGGGAACUGCGUCUGAUACUGAGUGGCUUGAGUGCAGGAGAGGAACGCGGAAUUCCAGGUGUAGCGGUGAAAUGCGUAGAUAUCUGGAGGAACACCGGUGGCGAAGGCGGCAUCCUGGACCGGUAUUGACGCUGAGGCGCGAAAGCCAGGGGAGCAAACGGG